GGGGCUAAGCCCCUCUGGGAAGUCUCCUGUCCCCACCUACUCCCAUGGCCUUCUCGAUCUGAGGGCUACUUGGCUGGGGCUGGACUCGUGGGCAGCUGGGAACCACCCUGCUCCCAGCAGGGGCCUGAGCAGGGCAAGGGCGAGCACAAGCUGGCGUGAACCCCGGAGCCUCCCUGAGCCCUGUGCCCUCAGCCCCCUCCAGGGCCAGGGGCAAGGCGGGCUCGUCUUCUGUGCCUGGAGCGCUGGAGCCCUCGACAGUCACACUCCCAAGGCCGGCUGAAGAGGGGCAGGGGGAUCAUCUGUCUCUCCAAGGUGCCAGCACCCAGCCUGCCCCUGGGGCUGCCCUGCACCCAGCUGAGGCAAGAGGCCAACAUCUGAGUGAUUAACGUGGAGGGUGCUUGGCAGGAAGCGCGGCGUCUUUUUGGCCCUCAAGGUGACCCUGACCGGGGGCGGGUCCUCUGAUGUCCUCAGGGCCCAGAGGGGGAAACAGGGACAGAAGCCUGCUGCGCCUGGGCUGGUGUGUGGUGGCGACCGACAGGCAGCCCGCUGUUUGGGUCCACUCGUCUCCCAACUGCUCCCCUGGCCAGAACCUGGAACCACCUCGGGCCUCCUCAAGCCUGCUCCAGGGAAGGCGCUGGUUGGGAGGCCAUUUGGCAGCCAGAAGCCCUGGAGUGGCCGCCACUGGCCUCAGGCGCCACCCAAACCCCAAAGGCCUGGGUCCAUGGUUCAGGCUUUAAGCAGAUGCCCUGUGACUGGGCCUCAGUUUCCCUAUCUGUGAGAGGGGCCAGGUAAGGUGACUGUUCAUGCCCAGCUCUGACCCAUUCCCGCCACUGAGGGGGUUGCUGGGUGGAGGGAGAGCGGGACUCCUGUCACUGUCUGCCCUGGGGGUGUGGGACUGCCAUGACGGGGACCCCUGCUGCUUCUACGGGUGGACGAGGCGUCGAGGAGCAGUGACCUGGGUGCUCGGAUUAGGGGAGACAUUUAUUCUAGGACAGAACAUCUAAGAAGGAAAAGGGGCACUUUCAGAGCCUCUGACUGGACCACCCUGGGGCAAAGAGGGGCCACUGUGAGCACGUGUGUGCAGUGGUCCUGUGGCCUCACUGCCAAGUGCAUCUAGAGGGAGUCCCAGAAAAGCAAUUAAAAACCAGCUCCACCUCCGAGGAGCAGAGUUCCAAAAAGGCACCCCCAGCCCUGACAAGAGAGGCCACACUCGGGAAAGGAGGCUGUGCCCCAGGCUGGACCUGGGCUGGAGAAAGGACCCCGACAUGUCCCGAGGACUCCAGUGGGAGUAAUGGAUGCCCAGACUCUGCCCGGCCCACGCUGGCCUGGGCUCACGGGCUGGCUCACCUUUUGUGAUGGUGGUGACAGCCGAAAAGGCGGGCCCAAAGGUCGUUUCCAUUCUGGUCUGGACAGAGAACAGAUGAGACUUGGCACUGGCCCCCAGUGAGGACGUGUGCACACACACACACACACACACGUGGACGUGCACCGGACGCUUUUGCACCACCGUGGUCAUGUGCACCAGUGCAGGAGCCUCAGCAGAGACCAGGCGAGGGACCCAAGGAUCCUGUCCCUAAAAGAGACAAGACCACAUGCGGGUCCUGGUAACCACGAGGCUGUCUGCUUCAGUUCCUAACCCAGCAGGCCCUCAAGGUUGCCAGACUGGACACCUGUCGUGGUCUCCUCUUCCCAGGGCUGUGUCCUUGCGCCCCCCACCCGACCUCUCCAGCGCCCACAGGCCCUUCUGCUGGAGGGAGGGCCUCCUUCCUGCUCGGCCACCCUGGCUCUAACCCCCACUUGGCCUCCCCACCUGCCCGCUGCGGCCACCGCCCGUCCUUCCUCUCCCCCACUCUGGAUGGCGGUGCACAAGGUGGACCCCUGACACAGCCUGGGGGUGCGGCUCUCAGAGAGCUUCCCAGAGGAAGGGGCUGUCCACAUUCAGAGCAGGGAGAGAGUAUUCUGGAAAAAGGGGCCAUUUGUCCUCCUAUCUGAGCACCUGGCUAUAGGGGCCACUUUUACUUGCCCGCACCCUUCCUCCAACUCAGGAUCUGGGCCAAGCAGGGCUGCAGAGGCACAGUGGAGAAGCAUGUCCUGGGCUGUCUAAAAUCAGUGAGUCUAGGGGCCCCCAACUGCUUCACUGGAAAGGUGUGUGACUCUUGAUCUUGCGGUUGUGAGUUCAAGCCCCAUGUUGGGUGUAGAAAUUAUUUAAAUAAAUAAAACUCA